UCAUAGAAUUUCUUUAAAUUCAUGAUGUCGUAAGGGAAAAUAAUGAUAAUACCUUACUAUGAGUGUCGUCCAAAUCUGGUGCCAGAAGACUCGGUAAGACCAGAGACGCAAACGUUAAUCAUCAUAAACAGGCGUAAAGGGUUUGUAGGCAGCUUUUAUAAAAUUGUCAAGGUAAUUUAAUUGAAAGCUAGAAUCAAAAAGAGGUUAUAGUGUAUAACGCCUAGAGGAGGGCUGAUAUCCGUAGAUCCUAGGCAGAAUACUCAGGGCGAAGGCCACUCUCCACUAAUGAUUGACGCUGAAAAACGAAGGUUAGGGUAGGAAAUAGGAUUAGAUACCCCGGUACUCCUUUCUGUAAACGAUGAAUGGUAGUCAUUAGUUUAAUUAAAAUAACUAGAGGCGAAGUUAACACAAUAACCAUUCCGCCUUGUGAGUACUACUGCAAAGUAGAAAACAAAAAAAUUAGUCGGUCUCGAAGCAAACGGAGUGAAGCAUGUUAUUUA
rnacentral:rRNA from 1 species